UAACCAACUGAGCUACAAGCGUCUUCGUUUCUCUUUCUUCAGAUGAUGAUCCCAAGCCUUCUGGCGAUCUAGACAAAACAAGUCCACCGUGGGCUUUGAAAAAACGCUUUCCUUGAUAAAAAUUUAAGCGUUUUAUAAAGGAGGAUGCCCGGGAAGGUUUUUCCGGUUUAUCCCGGAAGGGCUUGUAGCUCAGUUGGU
rnacentral:misc_RNA from 1 species